rnacentral:lncRNA from 1 species
CAAACCAAAGCAGGCAAACCAGACUUGGAAGAAGCCCACACAGGCCAUGAGCUUCCCGACGAACAAACAGUGUUAGCUACUGGGCUACUGGUGAAGGUGCGGAUUAAACCCGCGGAGCAGCACAGCCACUACAGCAUCAGCGGCGGGUCAUUUCGCAUCCCAACUCCACAGUCACUUGUCAAAAGCGUUGGUGCCGCUCUUCUCUCCAUCAAAAUCUCAGGCAGGGUGAUCUUGGAUUUAGGAUCAAGAAGCGGAUCUGGGCGCCGCAUUGAAAUGUCUGGGCGAGAGUGGGAGCAGAAUUACUUUGAAUUCCGAGCUUGGGAACGGGAGAAUCACGAGCGUAACUCUGAACAGAUGAAAACUGACCAUCUUGGACAAUGAAACGAAGAAGCAGCCAGAGAGACGCCAGAAUUUAGCGCGUGCAACUGCAGCGCAAGCGCCGCCGGCAAGGCCCUCUCAAAGUCAUCUUGCAGAUAGCUGUCCUGGGUCCGCGUGGUGGCAACUCAUUAAAGUCACUGUGGAAGGUUUGCCCCUUCUUGAGACAGAGAAAAAAAAAAGCUUCACGAUGGGGUAUUCCAAUUCCCAGCAUAGAGCCAAGAGUCAAGACAAGUAGCCCCAAGAGGAAUGCGAGUCAGAGAGCCUUUCUUCUUUCUUCUUUUCUUUGCCAAACGAAAUCUAAUACUAUCUGGCUGCAAAAAUAUAUAUCACCGGCUCUGAGUCUGAAAGAUUAACAUUCGGAUACGUAGGAAAUGUAAUCUGCAUGGCUAAUUGAUUCUCAGCGUAUCAGUUUAAAGGAUAAAGAUCGAUAUCUGCAUAUGAUGGAUAUUGUAUUAAUAGGGACAUAAAUAAAGGCCGAAGAGUCGUUACCGAAACCUUUGAA